GAAUAUUUAACAAGGUGAAUACCCUAACUUCAUAUAUACUGGAAUAUUUAACAAGGUGAAUACCCUAACUUCAUAUAUAUACUGGAAUAUUUAACAAGGUGAAUACCCUAAUUUCAUAUAUACUGGAAUCUCCUGAUUAAAAACAAUGAGUAGAAAAAUAAUAGCGGAAGCAUACCUGAAUCCAUUGAAGGAGAAACCUUAUAGGAAGAAAACCCUUUGAGAUGGUCUUCCAAUUCUAGCCACUAGAUUCUGUGUCAAUUUCUCUCUGAGAGGAUUUUCAGAAAUUGGAAUGCGUAGUCGUAGAAUGGGGACCAUAACCCUAUUUAUAAACCGCUAGGGCAGUUUUAAUUUUAU
rnacentral:lncRNA from 1 species